CUUCUCCUUCUCCUUCUCCUUCUUCUCCUCCUCUUCUUUUUUUUUCUUCUUCUCCUCCUUUUUCUACUACCUAAACCCUAAAUUGGUGCUAAAAGGGCUGUUUAAAUUGGUGCUAAUCGACCAGUUGGACGGUUAAUGACAAUAAGGAAUCUGUCAUCUGCCAUAUCACUUUUUCGUUAUGUCUAUAACGGAAAAUGGUUAAAAGGAUUGUUUUGUUAUUUUUUUAAAAUUGAGCGACUAAAUUGCAACCUGAGUGAUUAUUUUGUCAGCUACCCUAAAGUUGAGUGACUAUUGGUGUAAUUUACCCUUUUUUUUGUCGAAUUCAGUACCAAUGCUGACCUAUAUCGUUACACGAGCUAACCAAAUUAUGACACAUCAUACCUUUAUUUUUUUUUCUUUUUUCAUUAAUCUUUAACUUAUUCACCGUCCCAUCCUAUGUCUUUUUUUCGGAUUUAAAACAACAUUACUGAAAACUCAUCUUUAGAGUUUUAUCUAUCUAUCAAUGGGGAAACAAUUUGGAAAAGAAAACCAUCAAUGGCCAUCUCUGAGCACUACAAUCGAAGUAGUUUUAUAGUCUUGAUUUUUCCAUCUCUGCUACUACACUCUACAAUGAAAUAGGAGAAGGUGGGAGAAAGAGGAAUAUUUUUUUAAUUUUUUAAUAUUAAUAUAAUUAUUAAUAAUAAUUUGAUUUAAUUUGAUUUUAAUUACAUCUUGUUUCUUAAUUAGAUGUAGAAGUUUUUUUUAUAAAUGUAACGGUAAUGGCUAGCGUUGACUAUAAAAAUAAAGUUUAGGUAUUUAAUUCGAUAAAAAAAUUUAAAUACUUAACUUUAAAAAAGACAUGAUUUGAGGGUCAAUUAUUAAAUUAAACUUUUAAGAAAAAUGGUUUCUUUUGGGGUACAAACAAAGCUUAAUGAAGGGUUUCUCUAGCAUUGAACGCAACACAGCGUGUUAAAAGCUGAACAUAGAUAUAAUCUUAAAGGAAGAAAUAGUAUAUUUGGGAUUCAACCCAAUACAACAUGCUAUUACUUGAACACAUAAAAGUUGUAAUGAGACAGAGGUGAAUCCAGAAGGGUUGGUAGGAGCCCUAGCCCCUCUUAAAAUAGAAAAUUGUUAUUUUGGCCAUUUAGAAAUUUUUAAAAUUUUAAAUUAGUAGAGAUAAAAUUGUACUUUGCCCUCUAAAAUUAUAAAAAUUUAAUUUAAUCAUUAAAAAAUUAUAAAGAUAUAGACUAUUAAAUAUUAAAAUUUCAUUUCGUCCCCUAAAAAAAUUGUCUAGCUUCACCCCUGUAACAAGAUUAAUAGCUUGUUGGCCUUAUUGGAGUUUUAUUAUUUGAAAAAAUUGAAAUCCACAAUAUUAAAAUAUGAAGUUAACUAUAUUGGGAUUCCAUUUAUCAUGUACUGAGAUUUUUUUACCAAAUGGCCCUUAAUACAAUUAGGGCUAGUCAAUGGGGAAUACAGGUACUGGUAGGUACUCAAAUCUUCUAUUUAAGUCUUUUUAUAGUUUAUAAAAUUUUAAAUUAAUAAUGGUAAAAUUGUACUUUGGCUACCAAAAAAUGAUAAAAAUUCAUUUAGUUUUUAAAAAUUAUAAAGAUAUAUAGACUAUUCAAAUGGUAAAAUUGUAUUUUUAUUAUCGCAAAAAUAUACAAUUUAAUUUUGCCUGAAUUUUUUUUUUUUUGAUUUCGCGCCUAGAGCUAGUACACAUAACAUAAAACCCAAAAUCAAAUAUGUGGGUAGUCAAAUGAUUAAAAUAACAACUCGCCAUUCCUACCAAAACAUAAGCAACUAGAUUGCUUUCUUUAAAAGCAUGCUUUAUUCUCCACUGUUGUAUCCCAUUGAUGAGUGUUCUAGAAUGCAAAAUUAAAGUGGAAAAUGUUUGAUUAUGAGAUGUGUUUUGCAAAAAAUUAACAACACAAGUAGUAUUAAGCUCAAUUUCCAAUCAAGCAACACUAAGGGCAUAUUUGAAAAUGCCUUUAGAAGUUUAAAAGCAGCAAUCCCAAACAUAUUGAUUUUUCAGUUAAAAACACUUUCAAAUGGAGAAGUUGGUAUCAAGUGCAGAGGUUGUUGACUUUAGCUGUUUAGGGGUGAAAAAGGACUUACAUUUGCUUCACUUUGUACUUGAGUAGAUACGAGUAAUGUAAGUGUUUAUUCCAGCCUAUGUUUGAAACAGAGGUCUGAGAAUUUUAAUUCUAAAUGGUUUAUUUUAUGGUGAACUCCAAGCUCACACCAAAAUAUCCAAUAUCAUGCAACUUCAGUUUUUUUUUUCUUAUCCAUGAUUCAAAAUUAUAAACAAUCAUUAUUAAUUUUUUGUAAUGUUAAAAAUGUAUAGAUGCAUAAAUUUCACCGUAAUUGCUAUUAUUAAACUAAUAAUAAUUGUUAUUAUAUUACUAAUAUCUAAUAUAUGGCACAUAUAUUUAAUUAAAAUUACUUAAAUAUUAUUUGAUUAACUAAUUUAAUAGUGAUUGUACUGCUUGUGUAAUUUUUAUUAUAUGGAUUUAUUAUUGUUCAACGUAAUGUCUAAAAUAGAUAUUUUAACUUUCAACCCUAAUUUUUGACAAUAAUGUCAAAUACUUGAAAUAAACAAAUAACACUUUUUCAUAACACUUUUUCAUAGCUCUUUUAAAGAACACUUUUUUCAACUGCAACUUUUCAAAAGCACUUCUGCAUCGCAAUAACAAUACCAAACUAGCCCUAAGAGCUUAAGCAAGGGAAAAUUUAUCUCGGAAAGCUAUAGUUCAAUCUCAACAAUACCUAAAUGAUCCCUUAUCCCAUUGGUUAUCUUGGUCACAAUUAUACACUCGACUCUAAAUUUGCCUGAAUUUUUAAUGACGGAUCCAUCCAUAUUCAACGAAUUUGACUGUUAUGCAAUUGUACAACUUAAAAUAUCAACUCAAGCUACAUAUACUAAGACUUACAACAUUGCACCAACAAGCCAUUUGUACAAAUGAAAGUGAGUAGGCUAAACCACUUAAAGAUUCUAGGCCUAAUAAUGUAACAAAUGCAAUAUCUAGACCUAAAACUAAGCAUGAAGUGGUUUAAGUUAUGGAGAGGCAGGAGGGAUUGUAAAGUUUUUUUUCAUGAGUUUGGAUGUGUUAGACAUUUGGUCUUAGUCCAACAAUCUUUCAAAAAAUUAUAGAAUCUAUUUGUGUGUUUCACCCAUCACACAGUUUUAGUAUUUUUAGGGUGUGCAGUAAUAACUUCUAAUCCUUCCAUUUACGAACAUCUUAUCUAGAGCUUUGUAGCAGUUGCUUAUUAGAUAUUAAAGGCAUUGAGAAUGCACCUUGACAUAUGCUACCUAUAUAAGUGUUGUCUAUAAUUCUUUGGAUUGAUUAGUAUGAUGUAGAAGAGACAGAGAAAGUAACAUAUUUACAAGCGAAAUACAUGUCAAGAGGUACAUAAAUUUUGGAGAAGUUUGUAUUCAAAGUUUUUAUGGGCCUAAACAGCAAUACCCAAGAAAACCCAGAGGUGAAAGUAGCCCAAGCUACCAAAACAAAACCUUGAAGAUAAUGGCGAAACCUCUCAGUUCCCAAAUCCUCUGCUAAUGGCGAAACCUUUCUAAACCCUAAACCACCUCACUGUUUCAAUGACGAUCCCAACCAUUGCUUCUAAUUUCUCACUCAACCCAUCACUCUUUCCUCUUAAAACUUCUUCAAUUUCUCGGCGCACUGUCCUAUCCCGUCAUCAAGCCCCCCCUUCAUUUCUCUCAAUACCCCAAGCUUUCAUUCCCAGGCCGGCCCCAAAUUUCCUUUUACUUUCUGGGAAACGGUUGGGGCUUUCUCUCAAUCGAAAAUCCAAGUUUUAUGCUAAUGCUGGCAAUGGAGGAGAAGAUGGUGGUGUUGAUGAAGCGGAGAGGUUGGCAAGAGGAGAGAGUACAAUGCCGGAGAGGUUCCGAUACUUGACCAAAGAAGCUCCUGAUCCUCCUGUUAGGUGGCCUUUCUUUGUUGGUGAGCUUCUUCAUAUGUCCUAUUCAGCUGAGUAUUAGAAUUUCGCCAUGUAAUUAGUGAAAAUCCCAUGAAAACUAUUCAUAACAUAGGUUCCAACGAGUUUAGGGCAUUGUUAAAGUUGUCAUGUAUUACUACCGUUCGGUCACGCCAUUACAAUCAUAUAAAGCAAAGAAUUGCCAUAAAAAAAGUUUAACAUAAUGCUAAUUAAUCCACUUUCUCUUUGGACCAUGUGCAGCUGUGGCAUUCCUUCUCUAUGCAUGGAGGGCUGUUUUGUUAGAGCUAUCUAAUUGGAGAAACGCUGCUUUUGGUGUUGUUCGUUUUGUGGGGUACAUCUUGAAGCUUGCACUUGCCCUUAUUUUCUAUUUCAUUGGGGAUCCAAUCACCUCCAUGAUCAGGUGUAUAGAGACUUUGAUCUAUAGUGUCAGAGCUUUCUACUCUGGGAUAGUGGCAUAUGCCCCUGUUAAAGAACUUACUGUGAUUAUUGUGCUUGCAUCAGCGGUUCUCGCCAUUGCUGAGGCUACUGUUCCCAACUCCAUAAGUUGUCAACCAUAUAUGCUCACAAUAUCCGGUCUCAUUGGCUAUGCAGCCGUGACUGGCUAUAUCUCUGAGCCACUCUACUGGACUCUAUUAUUGGGGUUAUAUAGUUUCUCGCGGGUUAUUAAAAAGCGAGAUGAUGUUACAUCAGCACUGCCUGUUGCAGCUGUAAUGGCUGCCAUCGGGGAACCUUGGGUUAGGAUCUUGGUGAUCACUUCUUAUCUAGCGUUAGCUAUCUUUAACCAUUCAAAGAAGCUUUCAGAAGUAAGGGAGCAAACAGAAGGUAUUGCUAUGGAGAGACGGCUUCCAAUGCCAUUAUUAGGUGCAGCCUUGGCUAUCGGAAUCAAUCUUGCUGCCAAGUGGGUUGGUUACCGGCAUUUGACAUGGAUGAUAGUGUGAGGACAGUUAAUCGGUUUCACACAUCUACUGUAACGACAUUGAUCUUUUGUCUGGAAAUAAUUUUGUGUCAUGUAGAUUCAUUUCAUGGUUUUGGGUUUGGUAGCGUAUUUUUCCCCUGUUUUUGUUUUGCUGUGCUAUGACAUAUUGACACAACAGCAACCAUACAAUAUCGGGAUGGCAUCAUUCCUCAAAUCUGAUGUUCUUCAUGCCUUGCAGAGAAGAAACUGUUAAUGACAAGUGUAUCAUGGGAAACCUUGAUAUUUGUGUUAAUGAUUCAAGUAGGAAGAAUUCGUAGCCAAUAAUGGCUGUAACAUUGGCAUAUAUAUAUAAAGAGAAAAAUAUUACCCAACAUUAAGAAAUAGCAUGAGGAGAACUAAAACGAGUACGAAGAAAAAAGAAAGCUCAAAUAGACAACAUCAGCAAGCUCAAUGCAUACACACUUUCUAGGACUAGGAACUUUAGGUAACAGCGGAGAAAGAAUUUUACGCAGAUGGUCAAUUGGACGGUUUGGGUGAAUCAGGGUAAUUUGGAUUUUAAAAUUUUUCCAUCAACUCAAUUUGAGAGUUAGGUUGUUUUAGGAUAGGAUUAUUUUACUAUUUGGGUUGGGUUUAUUUCAGGUUGAGUCAAUUUAAGUUUGGAUCUAUUAGUAUUAGUUAGUGAUCCCAAUUCAAUGAGUCCUUUCUUCCGUGAUUGAUUGUUGGCAUUAAUCUUAGUCUUACAUUACAUUUUGUCUGUUUAAAUCAAUAAAAUAGGGGCUCAGUGAGAAGAGAGAAGCAAUGAGGAUUACUAUAUUUUUUUCCAAAUAUACAACAUGGAUUAUGACAAUGCAAUAGAGUUAGGACUUUCAUGUGGAUCCGAAUGAAUUAUCUUUUCCAUGAAGGUAAAUCCUUGCUUGCUAGGCAAGAUGAUAGCAAGUUACAAAUUUUAUUUCAAUAGGAGAUAUAUUUCUAUUACUAUAAAAUUCAUAAAUGAAAUAAUUAAUUGUGAGGUUACCAUUAUCCUAUUUGUAGUAACGAAUCUUAUAUGUGUUCUUAAGAAAAGAAAAGAAAUUUGUCAAAAAAAAAUUGGGGACUUUAAAAGGUGGGUAAUUCAGGUUUAAGUUGAAUAUGUUUGAAAUAUUGAAAUUUCAUGAUGAAAUUGGUAUAGUCAUCAAUAAAGUUACUUGAAUUAGACCCGACCUAUCAAGGUACCAGUCUGAAGAACGACAUUAAAUUGAUUAACUUGAGGAUCGGUACAGAUGAAUUGAAUAUAAUAUAAUUUUUUAUUUUAUUUUUAAAUUAUUUAAUGAUUAAUUUAAUUGAAUCAAUUCAACACAUUGAAUCAAACCAAUGAAUUAAUAGUCUCACCACUCUUAUAAUUUUGAAAACCUUAAUCAUCAAAUUUGAAAGGCCCAAAUAUAUGAAAUUGUGAGUCUAAAAGUUUAGUAAUGAGCUAAGUUUUAUUGACGGUGAGCCCAGCACCCCAGUAGUUUUAUUGAAGUAGUUAACUAGGGUUUGUUUCAAAGUUGUAUAUAAAUGAUAGAAGAGCGCCUCUGUUGUUCAUAUUCUCGUCCCAGAGCUUCCAUCCUUGUCCAUUGUUUUCCAUUUGUUCUGAUGCCAAAAGUAACAUAUGCACAAACUCUCCCGGGCUUAUCUGAUUUUUAGAUUUGAAGAAAAAUGCCCCAAUGUUGGUGCUAAAACCAUGCUGUUUUACGUGUUGCGGAACAGCCUUUCUUUUCCACCGGCUCUUCUGUGUCAAAUCGGCGGCUACAUCCCCAUCUCAUUUUUCUUUUUGAAGUUGUGCUGGCGAUGAUUACUUUUAUUUUAUCCGCGCUUCCGAGAGCAAUCGAUGAAGCAAAUAAGUAAUAAAAAUGGUUGAAUUUCUUGAUAUGAGCCAGCAACCCACCAUUUAUAAUAAGAAAAAAAAAUGACUUUUUUGUUUAAUGGAUCUUGGCAAUGAGAAUUUAUAUGCAGCUUUAAAAUGCCAGUUCUGCUUCUGAAGAUUCUUGAUUGAGAAAGCUGUUUUAUUCCCGAGCCUGUAGACAUGUUUUAAACAAUAAAUGUUUUAGAACUUGGUCCAUGAUGAGUAAUCCAUUUCAUUGAGAUGUAGAUUUCCUCAAGACCCUGUUUUCCAGGGUGAACUUACUUGAGGCGCUACAUUGUUCAUGACUUUACUGGAUCUACGUGAGACCUCCCUUUUUUUCAAUAAAAAAUCUUUAUCCAUUUCAUUGAGAUGUAGAUUUCCUCAAGACCCUGUUUUCCAGGGUGAACUUACUUGAGGCGCUACAUUGUUCAUGACUUUACUGGAUCUACGUGAGACCUUCCUUUUUUUUUCAAUAAAAAAUCUUUCUUUUCUGCUUUCAUUGGAAGUGACUAUGUUGUGAACCAAUUGUUAUAUGAUAAAUCCAGUUUGGACCAUGAGGGAGAGAGGGAGAGAGGUAGAGAGAGCAUGACUUUUAUGAAUUAUACAACUCUUUGAAAAUCUGAAGUAGCCAAGUUUAUGAGUACACUUUAACAAAAAAAUUAAAGGAAAACCAUAAUGAACGUGACAUGGUUCUUCCAAAUUCCACAAAUUUGUUACUUAUAUACCCCAUUAUCUACAAUAAAUUUGGGGACAUGACAGUCGUUGAACAAUGGAAUUCAGCUCAAAUUUACCACAUAUGACAACAUAAACAGAAAGCAAUGGAAAAGAUUGAAUGGAGUUGGUAAUUGCUAAGUAGGAGCAACACCUUCAACCUGCUGCUUAGCUAGGUAUCUUUCCCUCCGUUCUUUCCAUUCAUCUAUAACCAGUCCUUCCCCUACGAUACGCGGUCCCGUCUCUUCUUGUGGCUUUUUCCGCGAUUCCAGUGCUGCUUCUGCCUCCGCCAGUUGACGUUUUAGUUUUUCCAGUGCCUUUGAGACCAAUAUGUUUUUUAGAAACAGACUACGAAUAAACCAAGUAAUCCAGUUCUGAUUAUGUUUUGAUUACUUACAGGACAAGAACGUUCUGGGUCUAGAAAAACUACAAGUAAUAUCUGCUCAACUGUGACCUCAUCCUUUUGCUCCUCAAACUGUUGCAAGAUUGUUAUACCACACGUUUUCAGUUUCACUAUUUGACAUGAAGAAAUUUUAUGUUCUAAAUGUAUCUGCAGAAUUAUACCAGUUCUGGGACAUAAUCUGUUUCUCCUUUCACUUUUAAGCUCAUGAUCUUGAACUUAACCCUGCUCUUUUUUUCCAUUGGUUUCUCAUUGUUCUCCGGUGGUUCCACAAACUUGAAUACUGUUCGUCAGAAAAAACAACUCAUUAAAACCAUAAAUCAAUCAGUGUUCUUCUGCCAAUGCAUAGAAAGUAGUAAUGGGGUUAUUUAAAUUGAUGGAUUACCGGUUGCGAUAAUGCUUUCUCCGGGACCAAGUAUACCUUCCGGAGGUCGCAUGUAACAACUCUUUGGUGCGGUUGUUUGGAACUGUAGAAGGAACCACAAAGCUCUCACUCAUUAGAUGUUUUGAAUCAAUGUAGAACCAGUAGCAACAUGUUUUUACCACACAUCAGACAUUAAUAACGACAUGUUCCAUACCUUGAAUGCUACAUGGGACUUGCUAGUGUUCUUAAUGUCAAUGGCACUCCUGACCUGUUUACCUGGUUCAUCUACAGAAACCACAAACUUCAACCUCAUGCACCCAGAUUGAGUUACUCAAAUUAACUUACUGGCAAUUAUAGCACAUCACUAGCCAUGAAAUCUCACUUUUAGCAAUUGAAUCACUUGAGCAGAAACGCAUUUGCAAUAAGUAAAAGGACCCCUUUAUCAGUUCCACAAACAGAAUAGGAUCAUGCAACGGAAACCAAAUCAUAAAAGCCAAAAAAUUUACUUGAAAACCCCAUCCCAGUUAAAAGGUGAGAAACUUACAAGGAAAAUAUAACUUGUUGGAAGGAUCAAGCCUAAGUCUUCUUCGAGCAGGAAGCAAAGAUUUGGCCAUAGAAAAAAAUGCAUUUGAAGAAGUCACAGUUGAUCUUUCACUACUUGGGGUUUGCUGGUAAACAUUGUUGUUCCCCAUUGAUGAUGAAGAAGAUGAAGAUGAGCCAUUCCCAUUGCCACUACUCAUCUGCCACAACUUCGGCAUCCUACAAAGACUCCAAACUUUCCCUUCACCUUCAGAUUUCUCCUCAUCAACACCCAUCAUAUUUUUUGGCUUUACACACACACUUGGAUCUGUCUAUGUUUGUAAGUUCAAUACACAGAAGCAAAUAAAAAGUCGAAACAAGGGUGGAAUUUUGUUCGUAAAUGAAUAUGGGGUAGGAAUUAAAUAUUAAACUAAGUUAUUAUAUCAGUUUUGGGGAUGUGGUUUGAGUUGUCACUGUUGUUGAAAGCUCCUUAACGUCUAAUAACAUAUGCUUGCAAGCAAAACAUAUAUUUUUGUUUUGUUUUCUUGGCAUUCAACUUUCAUGGUUACUUAAUUUUCAUUGUUGGAAAAUGACAGUGCAAUGCUGAUGUCUAUUCAUUUUUUGAUUCUAUGUAAUCAUUUGAUAUAAAUAUAUAUUUUUGUAGAAAAUAAGCCUUAAUUUUGCUUAGAAAGAAUGGAUUGAAAGGUUCGAAAAAUACAAUAUCGAGAUGAGCUCAUGGAGUGUGCUCUGUUUUUGAUGAAAUGUUAUGAUGUAAACAACAUAUAUUACUUUUGGAGCAUUAAAAUAACAUCCACCCAUGUGGCCCUCUUGCAAAAUUAUUCAAAAUCUAAUAAUAAAUAUAAAAGAAAAGCAUCUUUCUUUUUUUCAUCCCAAUGUCAAAUCAGGUUUGACAGGCAAUGAUUUCACCCACAACACUUUGGAUCUUUGCAAAUAUUUUCAUUUUUGUUUUUUUCUAUAUAUAUAUUUUUUCUUUAACCAAUCACACUGUAUACGGCAUAAUAUUUUUAUAUUUUUAUGUAUAAAUAUAAUUAAAACAUUUGUUACCCAUCCGUUAAUUAUCUUUUACGGUGAAACUAUAAAUUCACCUGACAUAUUAAAUUAUUAUUUUAGAUAAAAAAUUUAAGUUAAAUAAUACAAUUAGCCUCUAUAUUUAACUUAAUUUUUUUAUUUUAUUUUUUAUUCUCUUAUACUUCUCCUUCAGUUUUCUUCCUUUCUCUCUCUGUUUUAUGUUCUUUUUAACUUUAUUUUUUUCUUCUUUUAUGUUCCCUCAUUCCUUCUCCAUAUUCCAAUGACGGUUUCAAGAGUUGCCUCAAAUGAUUUUUGUGUAACGAGGCUCUUAAAUCCAUCAUAUGGUUAAAUAUUACAUAUUAACAAGUAAACUUUAGUUGACUAUUUGACAUAAAUUGUAGACGCCUCAUGUUUGAAAUCCCAAUUCUUUGAAUUAAUUAUUAGAUCAUUCAAGCAAAACAAUUUUCUAGAUGCCUCAUGUUUGAAAUCUCAUUUCUUUAAAUUAAUUACGUGGAAAAUAGAGAUGAAGAAGAAGGGAAAACAAAGGUAAAUGCAAAAGAGAAUAGAAAAUAAAGAAAGAAAAAAAAAAGAAAGUUAAAAGAACAUAAAUGAAAAAAAUUAAAUUGCUCAAAACGAAAAAAUAUGGGGAGUAAUUAUAUAAUUUAAUCUAAACUUUUUAUUUGAAAUAAUGAUUUAACGUGCCACGUCAGCUUACUGUUAUAGCGUUAAUGAUAAUUAACAGUUUAGUGGCUAAAAUAUUUACAAAAUGUUAACAUAAGUGACUAAAAAUAUAACAUUUCACAUAUAAAUGACUAAAAUAUAACCUAAGAUAAAAUAAAAGUGAGUAUUAGAUAGUUUAGCCAUAGAACUAUGGUUGGUCUUGAAAAUUUAAAAAAAUGUUUUAUUUAAAAAAAAGAAGGAAAAAUGAUGAAUUUGCAUUCAUAGAAAUUUCGUGUUGAACUCAUAAAUGAAAACUUAUAUUGAUAUUUUAUUUUAAAACUUUUGAAGCUUAUAAACGUUACUUACCACUCUCAUUUUGUGACUCAUAUACUUCACGUGCAUUCUUAAAUAAGAAUUCCCAAUAUAAUUUUAUGUAUUUGGGGGUGUAAUAUACAAGAUAUAUUAAGAAAUCUAUUUACCAGUUUAAAAUGCACAAUAAAUUAGAUAAAACUCAUAUAAGAUAUACACACAAAAUUGGAAAAAUCGAAUAUAGAAAUUAAAUUAAUUUGAGACCUAAAAUUAAAACCCAGAAGGCCUCAAAUAUUAAUUAAUUUACACCUACUUGCCUAAGUAGUUUCUCCUAGAUCUAUAUAUUGGUUGCAUUGGUCUACUACACAUGCAAAAGUUUGCUUGUCUAAUAACUCAGUUGAUUUAUCAUUUAACUUGACUAUGUUUCAAAUUAGAAGAAAAAGAGGUUGAGAAACCUACUAUUGUGCAUAAUACUCACUCUGAAAUUAAUAUGUAUAAUAAAUUUCUUCCCUUCUGCAUGAAAAAGAAAAAAAAGGGAAAACUUUGAUAUAUCCUUGGAUAAUGUUAUGAUUGGUUUGGCAAAUGGAAAACCUUAAAUUUGGUCAUCAUUUUCUUUGCAUUUGAUUUGAAGCUAUAACGAUAUUUAAAGCAUAUACAUUAAUAAGUCAGUCACCCUCUCCAUGUAUUACAAACUGUAUAUAAAAUGCACAAAUAUCCCUCUUUUUCCUUCUUGUUAUCCUUUCACUGUAUUUCCCAUUGUUAUGGUUAUGAUUAAUUACAUAAUUGUUCUAAGUGAUUCUUCAGAUUGAUGGCGCAUUUCUUCCCUGUCUCUCCUCCUUGAACAAGUGGAUGCUGCUGCUGAUGAUGGUCUCUCCCUUUGUGAGGAUCCCACCACAUUAUUAAUGGCAGCUUGGUGGUGGUGCUUAGCUGAGCUCCAUAGGCAUAGCUUUUUUUCCUUGGAAACUUCAGCUGCCGUAAGAGUAGUGGCGGCAACAGCCCACGCCUUACUCUUCCAACUCAUUCCUACAACAUAUAUAAACACACAGAGAACAGCGAAAAACUUAGGGUUAGAUGAGGCAUAUAAAUAUUAAUGAAGGGAGAGAGAGGAAAAUAAGGAGAUUAAAAGGAAAGAGGCAGUUACUUUUUUAUAGCAUGUUGUUUUGGCGAAUACCAAAAGCCCUUCUCCUUCUUCUUCUUCUUCUAACCAGCGGCUACUUUUGUUAUGUUCAGCCCAUAAUAUAUGGAACAAGUUACUGUUUUUCCCUCUUCUUUCUUCAUCACUUACCUUAUGUUACAUUCUCCUCCUAUCAUUUCUAAAUAAAUUUCUAUAUCUUGUAUCCCGAUUAAUUUUAAAAUCCAACUGGAUUAAUUUCUUAAAUGAUGGAUAAUCUCUCUCUACAUUAGUUUUUUUUUUCAUUUAUAAGAUUUAAUGAUUCAAUAACUUGAACACUUAAAAAGUUUAAGACACUAACCUUACUAUUAUAAAGCUUUUAAUUGCACUUGAAUUCAAUAUUACUAACUUAGUAAAAUUAUCAAAAAGAAAAAAAAUUAUUAGAUAUCCAUGUCUUUACUUUAAAAACAUCUGUUCAUAUAAAAAAUUUCUUAUUUUGAUUUAUUUUACUUUUAACAAUAUAUUUGUUUCUAAUAAAUAUUAUUUACCCUUUAAGAAUUAUUUGUAUUUAAGUGGGUGUUACGAAUUUUGGUAUACCAAAAAUAAAAAUAAAAAAUGAGUGCAAAAAAAAAUAGAUAUGAAAUUAGGUCUUAAUCAAAGGGAAAAUUUGAAGAAAAUGUUGUUUUUAAAAAAUAAUUAGGGAUUUAGAGCCAAUUUCUCAAUAUUUUAAAAAAUAAGUUAAUUUUGAAGAGAUAAAUAGAAAACAUGUCUUGCAGGAAGGUUUUCUGCUGAUAUAUGCUUAAGUCUCAAGUUUGAUUCCUCUCCUAUUUUUUACAUUUGUAUUUUUUAUUUCAUAUUAUUUUAAUUUUUUAAAAUUUUUUAAUUAAUAAUGAAUAAAUAUAUUAUUUUCAAGUUCUUUAAUUCAUCUUUAUAAUUAAUAACUCUUUUAUUUAUAUAAAUAAAAUAAUAAAUAUGUAAUUAUAUAUUUUUAUAUUUAUCAUUUGUGUUAUAUAUUUUUGUUUCUCCCUCCAAAAUCGAUCUAUUUUCCUAAAUAUCUAAAAAUUAACUUAUUUCCCGAUUAUCUUUCAAAAUCGACAUACAUUGCUAAUUAAUUAACCCCUUAAUGAAAAGCUCCUAGUGUCCUUCAAGUUAGGUUUCCAGCGGGCCUUAGUAAUGGAUGGGAUGAAAGCGAUAAUUUAAACUAAACCUUUGCAGAAUUUCAUCAAACGCAUCAACGCUCCUUAACAUACAAUUAUUAUUUGUACAAGAGAGGCAAAAGCCUAGCUAUACAGGCAAGCCAACUUUUACAACAUGGAACAUAUAUUUGUACAAACUAAAGAAAAAAGAAAGGUACGAUACGUACAAAUACUCUGUCGACUGUUAGACAGCUUUAGAAGAAGUUAAGGCACUCAAAAGAGUCAAAGUAAAAGGUUAAGGACAUUGAAUCAGUUGAUGAACAUAUUUGGUUGAGAUUAAUUAGGAGUUGGGACCCCAGCAGCUCAAGUACAUGACAGUCCUGAGGGAAUCCUCAGCCUGUUUAAGCUUGCUCUCAUUACUGCUUUUACCAGACUUAUCAGUACUCAUUGGAUCAAAGCAUCCUGAAAUGCCUUUUACUGGCUUUGAACAACAUCCCAUACCCGACUCAGUUUUUGGAGCUUGGUCUUUGGUGCUUGUGUUCCUCAAGCUCAUCUCUGCCUACUUUUCUAUACUUGUCUCUUCUGUGUAAUCAAGGGAGUGGGAGAGAGAAAGAAAGAAAGAAAGAAAGAGAAUUUUGGAGAAAAUUACACGAGAGAGAUGACUGGAAAUCAUGUAUAUAUAAUUACCACCUUGGGACCAAUACCAGUUUUAAAUUGGUGGUCUUUAGGAAAAGAAAAUUGUUUAUUGGAGAUGGUUUCCACUUGACAUGUAUGAUGGAUACAUAAAUAGAUUAAUCCAUUGAGGAUCUAAUUCAUCUGAUUAAUCCACCUGGCGAAAUCCAUUCCAUCUAAAUUUAAUAUUGUGUAGUAGAGUUGAAUUUCAUUCCACCUCACCUCUGCUUCAUGAUCUUUUCUACCAAUGGAUUUAUUACCUACAAAAGCAUCAAUUGGGUUGUAUUUUAUUGUCUCUAACCUGUGAUUUAACCUUAGUAUCUCAACUGUGUUACAGAGAAGAAGUGAGUGGCAAAUGCAACACUGCCAGGUUUCUAGGUACUAAUGCAUGUUAGUGGGCUAGAUUCCAUUAGAGGAAAGACUGACAUGAAUAAAGUUAAAAAUCAAUCCCUAUAUCCCAUCUCAGUCUUUAUGGAAACUAUUAUAUAUGGCAAUACCUACAUUUCCCCCCUUUCUUCCUUAUUCUUUCUGGGGGUUCUACUUUACUAAUAAAAAUAACUUUGAAAAUAUUGCAGGUUGAGGAAGAUGCUGCGCACGUUCCUUCCUUCCUUAGGCAUUGGAGCACAAGGCAUAUAUGCACGUGAGUUGAUGAAUACCCUGGACACGUUCAUCACUCAACACUCACGGGAUAAGACUGACACAUAACUCUCCACUGCCACUUGCAAUUUAGUUUUUGUUUACUACUUUGAAUCAAAGACUGAACUAAAGAUAGUAGUUGAUAUUUAAGUAACAUUUGAGGCAAAUCCUAGUUUUGAAGCUAUCUUUUUUAAGUUGGUGCUAAAUUAGUGCCUUCUUUAUACAAGAAAAGAGUUAUUCUCCGAAACCUAAUGCACUGCUCGGUCUGCAGUUUGUAUUAAAUUGAAGUCCAGAACAGUUGAGUAUUGAUCCAUUGAUAUGAUUAAUGAUUAAAAAUUAAGUGAACAGAAACUACAAUUGUACUACAAAGUUCAUGGUUAGAUUAAUUAAAUAUAACUUGUAAAACUGUAACAGUAAUGUAGCGUUAAAUCCUGUUGGGUUUUUGACACACUUUAACCAGAUAAAGUAAGAAUUUCAAACAGAGCACCAGCAGCAAUGUAUUAUACCCGGAUAAAAUAUGAAGGAAAAAUGCUUGAAGUUCAAGCUUUUAGCUAUUGUUGGGGAUUUUUGACAGCAGAGGAACGGAGCAGAGGAAGAAAUACAGGACAGAACAAGGCAGUAUUUUUACUUGCUCACAAAUGUGCAGCAAGGGAGCUAUGGCUUUAGCUCAUUUAGCUCAUUCAUUCAAUUAGAAAAACAAUACAUUUAUAGAUAAAACACAUUACCAAAUACUACCUACUCCCACUUAGUAGCCUAGGGACUUGCUAAGCAUUACUUGUACACAUCAAUAAGCUGAAUUAUCAGCUCAAUCAUCACCUAAACCCAUCAAAACAUCUAUAACUAAGUUCAUUUUCGACCAAACUAAACUAAGUUGCAACUACAACAGUCAACAUGUUGCUGCAGCAUGCAGCAUGCAUACAAGCCGUAUGCACUCAACAAAAACAUAACAGCAGCAUGGAUGGCCAAUUUCCAACACUCUUCCUUGGACUCCAUGCUGCAAAUGUCAUUCAUUCAUCAAGUUUUUGAACUUGGCAGUCCUUAGAUGCUUUCUUUCAAGCUGACCCUGCACAAGCACUUCAUUUUCAACCUUGGCAAAUGGAGUCUUCUCCUCCUUCACAGCCUUGGUUGACAACACAUCUUGCCUUGUUCCCUAUUACAGUCCUGCUUCUUCUUGCAUAAACAGCUUGCAAGUAUAGUUUGCUUGCCUUCAGUCUGCCAUUUUUGGCUUGCACCCACUCGGGCUUGCAUUUUGCUGCUCGCAACUAUACACCUUUGACAGGCUCGCUUUUUUGCUUACUGUCUUCAACAGGUGUCUUCAACUUUGCUGCUUGCAACCAUACACCUUUGACAGGCUCGCACUUUGGCUUACUGUCUUCAGUUGGUGUCUUCAAUAGGCUCGCAACUAUCACUUCUUGCUAAGCUUGCAGCUUUGACAUCUUGCUAAGCUUGCAGCUUGCACAUUGGAAAACUCACAUUCUUUCCUUGAAACUCCUCCUUCAGUCUAUCCCAGGCUUGUUUUGGUGUAUUCAUUUUAACCACCCAUAUGUGAUAGCCUUCUCCAUUG
rnacentral:lncRNA from 1 species